GUAUCAAUAAGCGGAGGAAAAGAAACCAACAGGGAUUGCCCUAGUAACGGCGAGUGAAGCGGCAACAGCUCAAAUUUGAAAUCUGGCCUCUGGCCCGAGUUGUAAUUUGCAGAGGAAACUUUAGGCACGGCACCUCCUGAGUCCCCUGGAACGGGGCGCCAUAGAGGGUGAGAGCCCCGUAUAGUUGGAUGCCUAGCCUGUGUAAAGCUCCUUCGACGAGUCGAGUAGUUUGGGAAUGCUGCUCAAAAUGGGAGGUAAAUUUCUUCUAAAGCUAAAUACCGGCCAGAGACCGAUAGCGCACAAGUA
rnacentral:rRNA from 1 species